rnacentral:rRNA from 1 species
GACGAACGCUGGCGGCGUGCUUAACACAUGCAAGUCGAACGGGCCUUGUCCCCUUUUUUUUUGGGGGUGGGGUUAGUGGCGAACGGGUGAGUAACACGUGAGUAACCUGCCCCUCACUUCUGGAUAACCGCUUGAAAGGGUGGCUAAUACGGGGUGUUCUGGCCUGCUCGCAUGGGUGGGUUUGGAAAGAUUCGACCGGUUUUGGUUGUUUUGGUUGGGGAUGGGCUCGCGGCCUAUCAGCUUGUUGGUGGGGUGAUGGCCUGCCAAGGCUUUGACGGGUAGCCGGCCUGAGAGGGUGGGCGGUCACACUGGGACUGAGACACGGCCCAGACUCCUACGGGAGGCAGCAGUGGGGAAUAUUGCACAAUGGGCGCAAGCCUGAUGCAGCGACGCCGCGUGAGGGAUGGAGGCCUUCGGGUUGUGAACCUCUUUCGCCAGUGAAGAAGGUCCUGCUCUUUGUGGUGGGGUUGACGGUAGCUGGGUUAAUGAAGCGCCGGCUAACUACGUG